rnacentral:rRNA from 1 species
UACGAAGGGGGCUAGCGUUGCUCGGAAUCACUGGGCGUAAAGCGCGCGUAGGCGGAUCGUUAAGUCGGGGGUGAAAUCCUGGAGCUCAACUCCAGAACUGCCUUUGAUACUGGCGAUCUUGAGUCCGGGAGAGGUGAGUGGAACUCCGAGUGUAGAGGUGAAAUUCGUAGAUAUUCGGAAGAACACCAGUGGCGAAGGCGACUUACUGGACACAUAUUGACGCUGAGGCGCGACAGCGUGGGGAGCAAACAGG